UACGGAGGGGGCCAGCGUUAUCCGGAUUUACUGGGAGUAAAGGGCGUGUAGGCGGGCUUUCAAGUCCGAUGCUAAAGACCGGAGCUCAACCUCGGGAGUGCCUUCGAGACUGCGAGGCUAGACGGUUGGAGAGGCCAGUGGAAUUGCGGGUGUAGCGGUGAAAUUCGCAGAUACCGGGAGGAACGCCAGUGGCGAAGGCAGCUGGCUGGACAUGUGGUGACGCUGAGGCGAGAAAGCGUGGGGAGCAAACCGG
rnacentral:rRNA from 1 species